rnacentral:rRNA from 11 species
GACUUCACAAAUAUGGCUCCAAAAGAUACCAAUUCACCUCUGAUCUUGGAAGCUAAGCAGGGUCUGACCUGGUUAAUACAUGGAUGGGAGAACAACAACAACAACUGGUUGCUGUAGGCU